rnacentral:lncRNA from 1 species
CCCACCUCCCUCCUUUCGCCGAAAAAAUCUACUGUAUCACAUCUGCACCAUACGAUCAGUAACAAGUCAAUCAUAUUUAUUUUUUUUUAAAAAAUAUAUAAUAAUUUUAUUUAUAUUAAGUAUGACGCGACAGAUGAAUUUAAGAAGGACAAUUUUAUUAAUCGAAGAUGCCACGUCAGCAAUUUAACUAGCAUAUUCUAAACUAUUUUCUCUUUUGCGCCCUCCCCUCCCUA